rnacentral:rRNA from 1 species
AUGGACGACGACGUCGAGCCGGGCGGAGGCCAAGCCGGCGGCGAAACAGGCGGCUCCGGGUUCACUGCCACCUUUGACGACUGGCCGGACGACGAUGAAGCCGAAGCCGUCCCGCGCCGCCAGCCGGCAUCUGGACACGGCGCGGGCUCCUCCGCCGCGCAGCCUGCUCGGGGUGGAGGUCAGAAGCGUCGCGCCACCCAGGGCUUGUUCGGCAGCCGAAUGAAGAAACCCAGAGGCGGGGCGGCAGCCACCAGGCGGGAGGAGGCGGCCGCGAAGGUGGCUCGUUUCCGCAAGGUGGUGAAGCAACCGCAGACCGUGUCGGCGUAA